UCCACACCUAAUGAGCAAGGGAAGAAAGAGAACUGUCAGUGAAUGUGGAACAAUUUUAGGUUCACUUGUAUACCCAGACCCUGCAAGCUACAUGUAUAUUUAGGUCUGUCGUGUAGAUUAAAGAUCUAGCUAGCUCCAGGCUCCAAGAGACUUUAGUUUUAGCUAGAAAAACAAUAUAGAUGAUUAGCAAAGACUUUUAUUAAAGAGAGCACACAUUCCCCCUAAUACUCUGCUUGUAUAUAAGAACGUUCUUGGUUGUGUAAACGCAAAGCCAGGCCAGGAAUCAGGUUUCAGCCAACAGAAAGCCUGCAGAGUUGCCCGCGGGCUGCUGAAGCAGUGCUUCGCUCACACGUGCACGUCAGAUGGCUGCUGGGGAGCCGGCCACCCCCAAGCCUCUUGGGCAGGACACAUCCGUGUGUGUCUAUCCUGCAUCGGCUGCCAGAUCACCAAGUGGUGCCCCUUUGCCUAAACCCUUCCUUGGACUUACUUUCAAAUUCCUGUACCACUGGGUUUCGGUUGCUGGAUUUGAGAUUCACAGCCCCUAUCAAGCAGCCUGAGGGAAAAAAGAAAAGUAAAAUCAGAGACAACGCGACACUAAAAGAGCAGAGAACCCGCACUUGACAUCAGACUCUCCCUUCAUGGCGGCUACAGUCACGAACCACAGAGGAUGUCAAAUGUCAUGUUCCAAAACAAAGUCUCUUAGAUACAGCAGGGUGACUGCUUUCUGAGUCUGACCUUCAUUGGAAGGAACCCAGGAGAAAGAGAAUUCUCAGAGUGCACUUUCCUUCUUAGUCCCAGAACGAAGCCCCUAGAACUUUCAAGACCUUCCUCUAAGAAUGUACUUUUAAAAAAAGGAUUGUAAGAGAGAGCUACACAACAACAGACUGGACAACCCAGAAGAAAUGGACAAAUUCUUAAAAUCAUACAACUUUCUAAGACUGAAUCAUGAAGAAAGAAAAUCUAAAUAGAUCACUAGUAAGGAGACUGAAACAGUAAUCAAAAGCUCCCCCCAAACAAAAGUCCAGGACCAGUCAGCUUCACUGGUAAAUCCUACCAAACAUUCAAAGAUUUGAUACCUGUCCUUCUCAAACUAUCCCCCAAAAUUGAAGAGGACAGAACACUUCCUAACUCAUUUUUCAAGGCCAACAUUACCCUGAUACCAAAACCAGACAAAGAUAACACACAAAAAGAAAAUUAUCUCUGAUGAACAUAGAUGCAAAAAUUCUCAACAAAAUAUUAGCAAACUGAAUACAACAAUACAUUAAAAAGAUCGUACACCAUGAACAAGUGCGACUUAUCCCAGGGAUGCAAGGAUGGUUCAACAUCCACAAAUCAAUGAACAUGAUACACCACAUUAACAAAAUGAAGGAUAAAAACCAUAUGAGCAUCUCAGAUGCAGAAAGAACAUUUCACAAGGUUCAACACCUAUUUAUGACAAAACUCUCAAAAAAAUGGGUAUAGAAGGAAGCUCAACAUAAUAAAGGCCACAAAUGACAAACCCACAGCUAACAUCACACUCUACAGCAAGGGUCCCCAACCUCCGGGCCGCGGACCGGUAGGCCUGUUAGGAACCAGGCCACAUAGCAUGAGGUAAACGGCGGGCAAGCGACCGAAGCUUCAUCUUCCACUCCCUAUCGCUCACGUUACCGCCUGACUGCCACUCACAUUACUGCCUAAACCAUCCCCCCACCCCCAGUCUGAGGAAAAACUGUCUUCCAUGAAACCAGUCCCUGGUGCCAAAAAGGUUGGGGACCACUGCUCUACAGUGAAAAACUAAAAGCUUUCUUUUACAAUUGGGAACAAGGUAAGGAUGCCCACUCUCACCACUCCUAUUCAACACAGGAAGUCCUAGCCAGAGCAAUUAGCCAUUAAAAGAAAAUUAAAACAUCCGGGGACUUCCCUGGUGGCCCAGUGGUUAAGAAUCCGCCUGCCAAUGCAGGGGAAACAGGUUUGAUCCCUGGUCCGGGAAGAUCCACAUACCAUGGAGCAUCUAAGCCCAUGCGCCACAACUACCAAGCCUGCACUCUAGAGCCCACGAGUCACAACUACAGAGCCCAUGCGCCGCAAGUGCUGGAGCCCACGUGCUCUAGGGCCUGUGCUCUGCAACAGGAGAAGCCACUGCGAUGAGAAGCCCGAGCACCACAAAGAGUAGCCCCCACUCGCCGCAACUAGAGAAAGACCGUGUGCAGCAACGAAGACCCAACACAGCCAAAAAAUAAAUUUAAAAAAAAAGAAAAAAAAUUAGGGGCUUCCCUGGUGGCACAGUGGUUGAGAGUCCACCUGCCAAUGCAGGGGACAUGGGUGCGUGCCCCGGUCCGGGAAGAUCCCAGAUGCUGCGGAGCGGCUGGGCCCGUGAGCCAUGGCCGCUGAGCCUGCGUGUCCGGAGCCUGUGCUCCUCAACGGGAGAAGCCAUGACAGUGAGAGGCCUGCGUACAGCAAAAAAAAAAAAAAAGAAAAAAAAUUAAUAAAAUAAAUAAAAACAUCCAAAUUGGAAAGGAAGAAGUGAAAUUAUCACUAUUUGUAUAUGACAUGAUUUUAUAUACAGAAAAUCCUAAAGACUCCACCAAAAAACUAUUAGAUAUAAUAAAUGAAUUCAGUAAAGUUGAAGGGUACAAAAUCAACAUACAGAAAUCUGUUCUAUUUCUAAAAAUUAACAACAAGCUAGCAGAAAGAGAAAUUAAGAAAACAAUCCCAUUUACAACUGCAACAAAAAGAAUAAAAUAACCUAAGAAUAAAUUUUUCCAAGGAGGUGAAAGACCUGUACACAGAAAACUAUAAGACAUUGUUCAAAGAAACUGAAGAAGACACAAAGAAACGGAAAGACAUUCUGUGCUCAUGGACUGAAAGAAUUAACACUGUUAAAAUGUCCAUAUUACCUAAAGCAACCACAGAUUCAAUGCAAUCCCUAUCAACAUCCCAAGGGCAUUUUUAUUUUUCACAGAAAUAGAACAAAAAAUUCUAAAAUUCAUAUACAACCACAAAAGACCCUGAAUAACCAAAGCAAUCCUGAGAAAAAAAGAACAAAGCUGGAGAUAUCACACGCCCUGAUUUCAAACUACAUUAUAAAGCUUUAGAACUCAAAACAGCAUGAUAUUGGCAGAAAAACAGAUAUAGCUCAAUGGAACAGAAUUGAAAGUCCAGAAAUAAACCCACACAUAUAUGGACAAUUAAUUUAUGACAAAGGAGCAAACAGCAUACAAUGGAGAAAGGAUAGUCUUCAAUAAAUGGUGUUGGGAAAACUGCACAGCCACAUGCAAAAAAAAAAAUUGAAACUAGAUGACUAUCAUAUGCCAUAUACAAAAAUCAACCCCAAAGAGAUUAAAGAUUGAAUGUAACCCAUGAAACCAUAAAACUCUAAAAGAAAACACAGGCAGUACGCCUUUGACAUCAGUCUUAGCAAUAUCUUUCUAGAUAUGCCUCCUCAGCAAGGGAAACAAAAGCAAAAAUAAACAAAUGGGACCACAUCAAACUAAAAACCUUUUGCACAGCAAAGAAAACAACAAAAUGAAAACACAAGCUACCAAAUAGGAGAAGAUACUUGCAAAUCAUAUAUCCAAUAAGGCAUUAAUGCUCAAAAUAUAUAAAGAACGAUAAAAAAACCCAAUAACCUGAUUAAAAAAUGGGCAGAGGAACUGAACAUACAUUCUUCCAAAGAAGACAUACAGAUGGCCAACAGACAUGAAAAGAUGUUCAACGUCACUAAUUAUCAAGGAAACGCAAAUCAAAACCACAAUGAGAUAUCACAUUAUAUCUGUCAGAAUUGGCUGUUAUCAAAAAGGCAAGAAAUAACAAGUGUUGCCAAGGAUGUGGAGAAAAGGAAACCACGGUGCACAUGGAUAAUGUAAAUUGGUGCAGCCACUGUGGAAAACAGUAUGGAGAUCCUCAAAAAACUAACACUAGGGAGCUUCCCUGGUGGCGCAGUGGUUGAGAGUCCACCUGCCGAUGCAGGGGACACGGGUUCGUGCCCCGGUCCGGGAAGAUCCCACAUGCCGCGGAGCGGCUGGGCCCGUGAGCCAUGGCCACUGAGCCUGCGCAUCCGGAGCCUGUGCUCCACAGCAGGACAGGCCACAACAGUGAGAGGCCCAUGUACCGCAAAAAACAAACAAAAAACUAACACUAGAACUACCAUAUGACUGAGCAAUUCCACUCCUGGGUAUUUAUCAGAAGAAAAAAACACUAAUUAUAAAAGAUAUAUGCACCCCUAUGUUCAUUGCAGCAUUAUUUAUAGUAGCCAAGAUAUGGAAGCAACCUAAGUGGCCAUCAAUGGAAAAAUGGAUAAAGAUGUGGCAUGUGUGAUGUAUAUAUAUGUGUGUGGGAUGGAAUAUUACUCAGCCAUAAAAAAGGAUGGAAUCUUGCCAUUUGCAAAAACAUGGAUGAACCUUGAGGAUAUUAUGCUAAGUGAAAUAUCAGGUGAAGAAAGACAAAUACCAUAUGAUUUCACUCAUACAUGAAAUAUUAAAAAACAAACAAAAUGACAAAAUAAAUGAACCAAACCAAACUAUAACAAACAUGUAGAUACAGAGAACAGAGUAAUGGUUACCAGAGGGGGUGGGGAUGGGUAAAGGGGGUCAAUAUGGUGAUGCGUGGAAAGUAAACUCUUGGUGGUAAGCUGCUGUAGUGGAUACAGAAGUAGAAGUAUCAUGUUGUGCACAAGAAGCUUAUAUAAUGUUAUAAAAUCAAUGUUACCUCAAUAAAAAAAAAUUUUUUUAAGAAUUUUCUUUUCAUCAUCUCCCAGACCUACAUGGGCCUUCUUGUCAUUCCUCCCUCCUGCCUGGUACCUUCCCCUGCAUGAUGGCAUGGACAUUCUGGGUACAGUUACCAACCAGGAAUCCAUUAUUAAAUCUUGGACUUAGAAGGAAUCUAAGACAUGUGUAGUUGUCUGUUUCUAUUCAAAUCCUCCGAAAGAAAUUUAAGACUGUCCUCUGGAGGCAGGUGUGCCAAGCAGCGCUCCGCACCGGGGAUGCACCACACUGUGUUUAACCACUCACCCACGGAAAGGCGUCUGGGUUGUUUCCAGUUUGGGGCUAUGAUGAAUAAAACUGCUGUGACAUUUGUGCACAGACUUUCGUAUGAACAUAACUUUCCUUUUCUCUGGGACAGAUGCCCAAGAGCACAAACCCUCGUCGUAUGUUGUGGCAUGGUUAGUUUUUUAAAGAAACUAAUAACUGUUUUCCAGAGUUGGGCUGGACCAAAAAUUCACUGUAGGAAAGUUUUCUUUCUAAACUUUGGUUUUUAAACUUAGCAGGGUACACCGGACCACUCUGUACUACCUUUGCAACUUCCUGUGAAUCUAUAAUUAUUUCAACAUUAAAUCGUAGAACACUUCUCUAUUUCUAAAAUGAUGAUAGUGAAAUCAGUAUGGCAUUUGGAAUCGGUUGGGUAUGCAAAAAACUGAAGUAACAGUUUUAAAGCAUUGAUAUUCACAAUACACCAGAAAUCAUAUAUAUACUUAACAACUAUUUAAACUUAGAUAAAAAUUUUUAUGUAAGGUCUCCUGAAUUCUUUCAGUGAAUACAUCAGUUAAAAAAUCAACCGGCAUGGGGCUUCCCUGGUGGUCCAGUAGUUAAGAAUCCGCCUUCCAAUGCAGGGGAUGCGGGUUUGAUCCCUGGUCAGGGAGCUAAGAUCCCGAAUGCCGCAGGGCAACUAAGCCUGCACACCACGACUACUGAGCUCGCGCACCUCACGCGCCACAACUAGAGAGAAGCCCACACGCCGCAACAAAGAGCCUGUGUGCCACAACUAAGACCUGACGCAGCCAAAUAAAUAAAUGUUUUUUAAAAAUUAAAAUCAACUGGCAUAACCGUAUUCAUG